ACGUCUUUUUGUACUCCUUAUUCUGGUAACAACAUGCAGUUUAUGAGGAUGCUGCGGAUCUCCACCAUAUUUUUCAUGAUCUGCAGGUGAAGGCUGAAAUACCUAGAAAGGAAGAAUCAUAAAUGGGAUUUUGAAGAGAUGUGGGGUCAGAAGAAUGAUGGCAGAUGCACCAAAGAAAAAGAGAGAAGAUAUAAAACAAAACAGCAUGAAGAGUAUGAAAUAUUUGGGAAAACCAAGUGGUUCUGUGUGGCUAAGGGAGAAAAAAGCACAAAAAGCAAUGCAGGGGAUGAAGUUAAACUAUACUCAACUAUGUGGAGCUAUUAGAAAUUUCCAGAAGGGAUAUGAAGGUGUUGAAAGUUUGAAGCAGCAUGACCAUCUUUCAAAAAGAAAUUCAGAAAGAAAACUCUUACGAAAGAAUGAAAUGAACCAGAGGUGGGAGACCUGCACGAGGAAAGCCGGUUAGGACACACUCAUGGCCACGGUUUAAAAGCCUGAACUAUGCAGCUGUCACAGGAAAGAGACUGAUUUGGGGACUCUGGGCAGUAAAACAGUUGGGUUUGUGCAGGGUGAAGGAGAAGGAGGGGUCAAGACUGCCUGGGAGGUCUCCAGUCUGGGGAAUCUGGUAGAUCAGUGGUCCCCAACCUGUUUGGCACCAGGGACCAGUGCUAACUAUGAGAAUCUAACGCCUGAUGAUCUGAGGUGGAGCUGAGGUGGUGAUGCUAGUGCUGGGGAGCAGCUGCAAAUACAGAUGAAGCUUUGCUAGCUAGACCACCCGCUGCUCCUCUCCUGCUGUGCAGCCCGGUUCUUAAUAGGCCACAUACCAGUGCUGGUCCACGGCCCGGGAGUUUGGGGUCCCUAUGGUAGAGGAUGGUAGCAUUAACUGACAUAACUAACACAGGAUGAGCACCCUCUUUUUGUUUGGUUGACUGGCAGGAAAGUCAGAUAUUGAUUCUAAUUCCGGACAUUUUUUACUUGAAAUACCCCUGAGUUAUCCAAGCAGCAAGGUCUAGAAACCAUUUGUGAAUAUAGCAAUAAGGUCAGAAGACAGGCAAGAGCCGGAGAUAUACAUCUCGGACUCAUUUCUAUGAAGUUUAAAAGCUUUCACAUCUACUACAGCUGGUGAUCAAAUCACUGCCUUACACAUUUUAAAAAAAUGCUAUGUCUUUAUCCUUUUCUCCCAGAAGUUUACCGACUAAGAAACAGGAAAACAUAAGGCAUGGGAAAGGAGAGCAGCAGGAACACCAUGACAUGAAAAAUAAAGACGUUUCUGAUAAAAGAACAUCAAACGCAUCGAAGGUAUCAAAAUAGUCAAUGGCAACAUUAUUCUUUUAAAAACAUCAAUGGAGAAGUGGUUGCCAGGGGCUUGGGGGCAGGGAGAAUGGGAAAUUACUGUUUAAUGGAGAUAGAGUUUCAGCUUUGUGAGAUGAAGAGUCCUGGGAAUGGAUGGUGGUGAUGGUGGCACAACAAUGUGAAGGUACUUAAUACCUCUGAACUGUACACUUAAAACUAAACAGUCUUCCCAUACUUCCCAGCAACUGCAUUCCUAGGUAUUUACCUCAAAUGAGUUGAAAACUUAUGUCCAUACAAAAACCUGCACAUAAAUGUUUAUAGCAGCUCUAUUUACUACUGCCCCAAACUGGAAGCCACCAAGAUGUCCUUCAGUAGGUGAGAGGAUAAACAAACUGUGGAACGUCCAGAAGAUGGAGAAUUAUUCAGCAAUAAAAGGAAAUGAGCUGUGUACAUAGCCACAAGACUUAGGUUAUAAAAAUGUAACUUUCAUUACUUCUAGAAUCUUGUUUGGUUUCUGAGUCCCCAGCCACUUUAAAGAAGAAUGCCUUGAUAUUUUCAAAUCUAUCUUCUUCCUGAGUUCUAGCCUUUAAUUUUCUAGUUAACUUAUGGUUUGUAAUUCUUUUGAUUAAAUAUACAGCUCAGUAAAAAAAAAGAAAAAAGAAAAAAGAAAAAAAGAAAUGAGUUAUCAAGUCAUGGUGAGAUAUCAAGGGACCUUAAUUUUUUAUUGUUAAGUGAACAAAGCCAGUGUGAAAGGGAUACAUAUUGUAUGAUGCCAACUCUAUGACAUUCUGGAAAAGGUAAAUUAUGGAGACAGUAAAAAGAUCAAUGGUUGCCAGGAGUUGGGGUCUAAGAGGGAGUGAUAAGUAGGAGCACAGAGGAUUUUUAGGGCAGUGAAACUACUCUGUACGAUACUGUAAUGGUGGAUACAGGACAUUAUAUAUUUGUCAAAACCCACAGAGAAUACAAUACGAAGAGUGAACAUUAAAUGUUUACCUCAGCCCCUUA